UACAGAGGUCUCAAGCGUUGUUCGGAUUCAUUGGGCGUAAAGGGUGCGUAGGCGGCGCGGUAAGUCGGGUGUGAAAUCUCGGAGCUUAACUCCGAAACUGCAUUCGAUACUGCCGUGCUUGAGGACUGGAGAGGAGACUGGAAUUUACGGUGUAGCAGUGAAAUGCGUAGAUAUCGUGAGGAAGACCAGUGGCGAAGGCGGGGUCUCUGGACAGUUCCUGACGCUGAGGCACGAAGGCCAGGGGAGCAAACGGG
rnacentral:rRNA from 1 species